UGAGAUUCGGAAGCAAGGUCUCACCCUGAAAAUUCACCCAUUGCUUCUUUCAGAGAAGCUGCAUGUCCCCUGAGUUCCUCCAGCAUUUUGUGUCCACCUGCGGUGUAAACCAGCAUCCGUAAUUACUCCCUACACUUCAGACUAGCUGGGUCAGGGUAGAGGUUGCCGGCACUGUGGUUGAGCAGUGCUCAGGUUUCCAGAUGCCAGGGUGUAAGAAGAUUUUAAACAUCGAUGACACAGGAGGCCAUUCAGCCCAUCUGUGCCAGUCAAGCUAAAACAACCCUGUCCGACCGCCUGCCAACCUGCAGGUCACGCACACCGCAAUACACGGCCAAGCGUGUUGAAGUUUCACAGCAGCAUCCCCUCUGUCCAUUGUGACCACAUCACUAAAUAUUCAUUCAUCGUACACAUAGCCACUCACAGACAACCUUUUGUGUCGGCAUUGUGGCGCAGCGGUAGAGUUGCUGCCUCACAGCACCAGAGACCUGGGUUCAAUCCUGACUACAGGUGCUAUCUCCCUGUUCCUCACACACUCCAAUGAUGUACAGGUUUGUAGGAUAAUUGGCUACUGAUAAUUAUAAAUUGUCCCUAGUGUGUGUAAGAUAAUGCUAGCUUGUAUGUAGAUGACCUCCUUCGACUAUGUUGAAGACUAGCUACGACUAACUUCGGGAAAAUUGGACACCAAAUAGUGGAGCAUGAAGACGAUCUCCUUCGAUUUCCUUCCACCUCCCUUCGACUAUAAUGAAGACUAUCUACAAGGUUCGACUAUCCUCGAUUACCUAUGACCAGCAUGCCGACCUACUACGAUCUACUACUAAACCUACGAGUAAAAAUAGAAUCAAUUCUUUCCAUGGCAAUCUUUUUUUAAUCACGGGCAUUUUUUAACAUAUUGAAAAAAACGCCGCGACCUAGCCGAGGCCUCGAGUACGUGGAGACCACUUUCGAGCAUGAAGGAGAGUUACGAAGACCUCCUACGACCUUGUGACGACCAUGCUGCGAGUAUGAGUCAGGGCAAACUCGCCAGAACUCACAAAUUAGGUCGCCCAAGUGGGACAGGCCCUUUAAGGGUUUCUCCCACUUUUGCGAUAUUUUUGGCGACUGCCGGCACCCGUCGCAGUCGCAGCAGAUCGCUGAAAAUUUUCAACAUGUUGAAAUUCCAGCGGCGACCAGAAAAAGGUAUGACUCUUCGGGCGACUACUCACGACCAUACUGGCGUCAUGUGUCGACAUGUCGCGGCAUCUCCCCUUCCCAUUCCCACACUGACCUUUCUGUCCUCGGCCUCCUCCACUGUCAGAGUGAGGCCACACACAUAUUGGAGGAAGAGCACCUCACAUUUCACUUGGGCAGCUUACCCCCCAGUGGUAUGAACAUUGAUUUCUCCAAUUUCAAGUAACUCCUGCAUUCACUCUCUCCCCCACACUGGACAUCCUACUAGUGUUCCAAUGUUCGCAUUCUUGUAUCCCUGUCGUUAUCAGCUCUUCCCCAGCCAACAACGGGCCAUUGUGGGCUCCACGCUUCCUUGGUCAUCUGUUGCCGGCCUCAGUUUGUUCUGGUUUUUUCCUACCUCUCAUUCCGUCCCCCCUACUUUCAAUCUGAAGGCAGGUUCCAUCCUAAUUCCCCAGAGAUGCUGCCUGACCCGCUGAGUUACUCCAGCACUUUGUAUCUCAGUAUCGACCAGCAUCUGUAGUUUCUUUCUACCCAAUCAGGGUCUCACUCUGUCUGACAGUUAUUAGGGAGUUAGCAUUCGCUUCCAGUUUAUCUUUGUCCUUUUAUAUCGCUAAGCUGAACAAAAUGUUGACACCACCACUGAACACCUUUCCCUGCUGACUAUCCAGCUACCUUCCUAAAUCCAUUCCCCAAACUAAAAUCAAAAAUGUUCUGCUUAAGACUUAUUCCAGGGAUCAACCUGGGUGAUGAUCCAGUCUGAGACAACGGUGUCAAGGAGAUGGAGAAAUAUGGAAUAGAAUAGAAAGAUGGAAUCAGGGCACAAUGCACUUGCCCACCAUUAGAAUAAUGCUGCACCAUGAACUGCCGAGAGCAGGCAUCUUAAAGCUGACAACAGCUGCCUGGGCCCCAAUAACAAACAGAAGUUGCGAUUCGUCCUUCAUUACGGUGGUGGCCUUGCCGAGACAACGCUACACCCCACGCUGCCUUGGCAAGGCCACCAGCACUUCAAGCACCUGUCACACCAUGGCCACUCCGCCUUCUCCCCUUACCCAUCGGGCAAAAGGUGUAGAAGUGUGGAAACGCACACCUCCAGAUUCAGGGACAGUUUCUUCCCAGCUGUCAUCAGGCAACUGAACCAUCCUACUAAUAUCUAAAGAGCAGUCCUGAACUACGAUCCACCUCAUUGGAGACCAUCGGACUAUUUUUGAUUGGACUUUACUGGCUUUAUCUGGCAGUAAACGCUAUUUACCUUAUCAUGUACACUGUGAAUGGCUCGAUAGUAUUCACAUAUAGUCUUUCUGCAGACUGGUUAGCACGCAACAAAAGUUUUUUACUAUUCCUCAGUACACGUGACCAACAAACUAAACUAAAAGAUGGCAGCAGAAAUCUCACAGGUAGGUGUAUGAAGGAACUGCAGAUACAGGUUUAUACCGGAUAAACACAAAAAGCAGCAGUAACUCAGCGGGGCAGGCAACAUCUCUGGAGAGAAUGAACAGGUGAUGUUUCGGGUUGAGCCCCUACUUCAGACUGAGAGUCAGGGGAAAGAGAAACGAGAGAUAGAGACGGUGAUGUAGUGAAAUAUGGAACAAAUGAAUGAAA